rnacentral:rRNA from 1 species
UACAGAGGGGGUAAGCGUUAUUCGGAAUUAUUGGGCGUAAAGGGCGCGUAGGCGGUUUUUUAAGUCGGAUGUGCAAUCCCCAGGCUCAACCUGGGAACUGCAUCCGAGACUGGAAGGCUAGAGUACUGGAGAGGGUGGUGGAAUUCCUCGUGUAGCGGUGAAAUGCGUAGAGAUGAGGAGGAACACCAGUGGCGAAGGCGGCCACCUGGACAGUAACUGACGCUCAUGCACGAAAGCGUGUGGAGCAAACAGG